UUUUUUUUCAUACAUUACUUUAAAUCAAAUGACAUACCCUUUUUUAUCAUGAUUAUUUUGUUUUUUUUUUUUUCUUUAAUUGAUAUGAUGGCAUGUGAAGGCUUUGGCUAUUUAUUAUCUGAUUUAACAAAUUGCUUGAGGGUAGAUUUAUCCUACACUAGUCAAGAUUUUGAUCUUUUGCAGUUCUGACUGCAGGUUUUGCCUGAAAACUCUAUUGUGGAACAAAUUAUGUUCAUCCCUCCACCAUUUGUUGUGGGGUCACGAAUGAUUUCCAAUGUUGUUCUGUAUUUCACAAAGCACCAUAGCUCUGGGUGCACUGAAAUUCUCAGCACAAGUCUCCCUCAUAUUCCUGGACUAUUCUUGAACAUUCUUGUAAAUACCAAGGAACUGGAGUUUUAUUUUGUAGUUGUCCAUAAGCAUAACAUGGGCAGAACCAACUGUAAUCAAAGUAUGUGUAUAGCAUACAUGGUUUGUAAUGUGGUAUUUGUUGCCUCCUCUCCCUGUCACUAAUAUUGUGUGAGGUAAGAUAGUCAGUGAUCAUUGUAUCUAUGGAUUAUCCAACUUUGGCUCUAAUUUAUCAAGUUUGUUGCUAAUUUACUUUAUUGCUGUUUGCAGUCCUAUGUUGUUAGCAUUUCACUUGGCUGUGCCUAACUCAUUUGUGGCAGCAUUCACCUUUCUGAGUUCCUCUAUCCUUCUGAUGAAAGGAUGCAGUUUGUCAGUUACUUGCUCUAUUAUUUCUUCAGAAUAGCAAUCAAUAAUGCUUCCUCAAACAUUUUUGAGUCAUGUGGCAUUAUGUUAUAUUUGAUCCUCUCGUCGAUUCCAUUUAGAAAUUGGACUUGCAAUCUUUCAUCCAGUUCCAUUUUCUGACAUCAUUUGACUACGGAUUUUUCUUGCUCUAUAGUGCUUUCCACAUCAAUUAUGGUUUCUGCAAUGAGAGAGUGAAAUCUUACAGCAUGUCUGAAUAUCUUCAUUUCUUUGCUGAACACAAUUGUGGAAUCAUUGUAAUCUGAUCAUAUAAUGUACCUUUGCAAAUCUUUUGAUCAUUAAUGCCAUAAAUUCCUUAUAAUUGGUUAUGCUUUUUAAGGUUAAAGUUGUACCAAAUAUGUUCUCACAUGAUUCCUGAGAGUUUGCACUUUGCUAUUCCUACACUUGUUGCUCACUCUAGGAUGCCAUUGUGCCAAUUUCUUUGAUCAUAUCAAAAUAAUCCCUGACAUGCAAGGUUGCUUCUCUACUGAAACUUGGGAUUGUUCUGAUCAAAUCACUAAGUCAAAGUCUCAUUGGCCAUCUUGAAGUUUUAAAUUUUACAACAACAAUAUCUUCGCUUUCUGGUUUCAUUUAACUUCAAUAAUCCCACUUCUGUCACCAGUGUGAGACUGGUGGAUGUACUUAUAUAGGGUUUUGAUCUUAGAUAAUGUUCUAAAACAAGGAUCAGCAACCUAUGACCCAUAGGAACAUUUGAAGAGACCCACCAAAGAAUUUGAUUGAAAAUGAGAUUUACACUCCUUAGUUUUAAAAUUGAAGCCCAAAGAAAAAUUUUUAAUACAUCACUAGCAGAUUAUACAGGUGUCAUGACAUACCUAUAAUUUAAAUGUAGAAUGACCAAACACGUUUUGGUAUAUUGUGCAAUUACAUUAACCCAAACCAAAAAUGUGAACUCUCAAUAUACUAAAGUUUGACCCAUGGUAAAAAAAAUCUUGCAGAAACACUGGUCUAAAGCUUUUAUGGAUAAGGAUGGGAACGAGACCUAGUGACACCAGUGACUCAGAGACCAAGGUUUAAUAAUCAAUAACUUCAUUUAUUUGAGAAAUUUCAUAUAUAUUAAUGAAAACCUGACAAUAAUCAUUGUAAAAGGACAAAUACCUUUUUCUGAACAGAAUGAACUAAAGUUCAAAUCAAUGAUUUCACAGUAAAAAUUCAAGUUAAAGAUUUCACAGUCUUGACAGCUCUCUCCCUUCUUAUCACUGUUCUCACUGGUUGCAACAUUGAACUUAUCAGGAUCAGCUGCUGCACUCCAGGAUUUGAACAAACAAACUUUGGAUGAUUGGUCAAAGAAGAGAGUAAUAAAGUUCUGAUUGAGAUAGAAGGUGCAGCCACACUUCAAAUUUACAUUGAACUGAUAAAUGCCAUUCUUCUUAACACAAUUUCUAUUCUUCUUUUCUCACAGUCAAAGUACACAGUGAUUUUCUUCAGUGUGGAAAAGCAACUAUAUGAGUUGGAACCAAUGUUUCUCCUUUUCACUUGUGUGUCAGAACUAGUAGAGUCUCAGGCAAACAAUAUGACCCUUUAUUUCACCUUUUUCCUGGAGAAAUAGAAUGUUUAU
rnacentral:lncRNA from 1 species